rnacentral:lncRNA from 1 species
ACCUCUGGGUGGCUGAAUUCAUUGUGCUCAUUUCUGCGUGACCUUUCUUCACCUCUCAGCCCCAUUCCAGCCUUCUCGGGAUGGACAGCUCUGCUGGGUGAGAAGAAAGCUCAGGCUGGCGGGGAUGGCAAAGGAGCUGCUCUCGGACCCCCAAUCCUGUGUAUGGGUAACGGGAAUGGCAGGACUGUGGUUGAGCUUUGGGAGCCCGGGAAGGAAGGAUACUGGAGCUGGGCUGAUCCAGGACAGCUUCCUGGAGGAGGCGGGAUUUAAACUGGUCAAUGAGAAUUUGCCAUUUGCUUCAAUUGGGCACCUGAAGGCAUCAGUAAUCUGGUUUCACCUCGGACCACAUUCAGGCUCCACGAAACCCUUCUGGGUGUGAGGUACAGAGCUCAGCACGCUGCUGGUCCUUAAAAAAAGAACCACAUGAGGGCAAUAAUCACGAGAGGACUGUGGUGCUAUGUGAAGAAGAAAUGAAACUCAUCCAUGAUAAUGGAGAUGAAAAUCCUAGUUCUUAGGACGGCCUCAAACUUUAGAAAACCUCACACGGACUCAGGGAGAAGAGAGGGGCUAGGUGGGUGUGCAGAGUCCCCCAGUGGCUUGUUUUCAUUGGAAUAAUAACAUCUUACAUUUCGAUGUGGUAAUGUCGCUGUUAAAACGCACUUCUCAUUGUUAGAAAUAAAAAUGACUCAAAGAUGUGAAA